UUACAGGCCUCAGUAGAAGUUAAGGUUAAUGACUGUUACAGGUCUCAGUAGAAGUUAAGGUUAAUGACUGUUACAGGUCUCAGUAGAAGUUAAGGUUAAGGAUUUAACUACGCAGUACUAGUAGUUUCUGUUACAUAAGAUUUUUUUAAUGUUUUAAGAUUAGAAUGUUUUGGCUAUUCUGUAAAAAUGAUCAACAGCUCGGCCUUGGUGAUUUUCCUCUCCUGAUUCUCUCCUGAGUUUUUUAUGACCGUUAGUACUCUUUUUGAGGUAGCGAUACGCAGGUCUAGUUACAAAAUCUUAUAUAUAUGUAGACCUUUGUUUAUACUCUGGGGCAGACCGAGAGACUGAAGCUAGACUUCAUAUCGAGACUGACUGGUAUGUUUAUUUUUAUUUUUUAUGCAUAUAAGCUUUUAACAGGCAUUCUAUGUUAUACUCUGUUUUAAUUUUGGAUUUCUGUAAUUUUUAUUAUUUUUAAAUAAAUAAUUACUAUUUUGAA